ACACAUGCAGUCGAGCGGAAACGAGUUAUCUGAACCUUCGGGGAACGAUAACGGCGUCGAGCGGCGGACGGGUGAGUAAUGCCUAGGAAAUUGCCCUGAUGUGGGGGAUAACCAUUGGAAACGAUGGCUAAUACCGCAUGAUGCCUACGGGCCAAAGAGGGGGACCUUCGGGCCUCUCGCGUCAGGAUAUGCCUAGGUGGGAUUAGCUAGUUGGUGAGGUAAGGGCUCACCAAGGCGACGAUCCCUAGCUGGUCUGAGAGGAUGAUCAGCCACACUGGAACUGAGACACGGUCCAGACUCCUACGGGAGGCAGCAGUGGGGAAUAUUGCACAAUGGGCGCAAGCCUGAUGCAGCCAUGCCGCGUGUGUGAAGAAGGCCUUCGGGUUGUAAAGCACUUUCAGUCGUGAGGAAGGUGGUGUAGUUAAUAGCUGCAUUAUUUGACGUUAGCGACAGAAGAAGCACCGGCUAACUCCGUGCCAGCAGCCGCGGUAAUACGGAGGGUGCGAGCGUUAAUCGGAAUUACUGGGCGUAAAGCGCAUGCAGGUGGUUUGUUAAGUCAGAUGUGAAAGCCCGGGGCUCAACCUCGGAAUAGCAUUUGAAACUGGCAGACUAGAGUACUGUAGAGGGGGGUAGAAUUUCAGGUGUAGCGGUGAAAUGCGUAGAGAUCUGAAGGAAUACCGGUGGCGAAGGCGGCCCCCUGGACAGAUACUGACACUCAGAUGCGAAAGCGUGGGGAGCAAACAGGAUUAGAUACCCUGGUAGUCCACGCCGUAAACGAUGUCUACUUGGAGGUUGUGGCCUUGAGCCGUGGCUUUCGGAGCUAACGCGUUAAGUAGACCGCCUGGGGAGUACGGUCGCAAGAUUAAAACUCAAAUGAAUUGACGGGGGCCCGCACAAGCGGUGGAGCAUGUGGUUUAAUUCGAUGCAACGCGAAGAACCUUACCUACUCUUGACAUCCAGAGAACUUUCCAGAGAUGGAUU
rnacentral:rRNA from 1 species